AACGAACGCUGGCGGCAUGCCUAACACAUGCAAGUCGAACGAGACCUUCGGGUCUAGUGGCGCACGGGUGCGUAACGCGUGGGAACCUGCCCUUAGGUUCGGAAUAACUCCCCGAAAGGGGUGCUAAUACCGGAUAAUGUCUUCGGACCAAAGAUUUAUCGCCUUUGGAUGGGCCCGCGUUGGAUUAGCUAGUUGGUAGGGUAAAAGCCUACCAAGGCGACGAUCCAUAGCUGGUCUGAGAGGAUGAUCAGCCACACUGGGACUGAGACACGGCCCAGACUCCUACGGGAGGCAGCAGUGUGGAAUAUUGGACAAUGGGCGAAAGCCUGAUCCAGCAACGCCGCGUGAGUGAUGAAGGCCUUAGGGUUGUAAAGCUCUUUUACCCGGGAUGAUAAUGACAGUACCGGGAGAAUAAGCUCCGGCUAACUCCGUG
rnacentral:rRNA from 1 species